rnacentral:misc_RNA from 1 species
CACACACACACACAUAUAUAUAUGCUUUGAAGUGAUCAAGUUAAAUUCAGCUAGUUAUGCUAAUUUAAUUGAUCACAUUUUGGUGACAUAUGAAACAAACUUUGAUCCCUUAAGAGUUUCUUCCUCUUAUGUCUAGGGCGCUAUUGUCUUUUUGGUUUCCAACCCAAUAAGGUGUUUCCUUGAUAAAUCUAACACAGAAUGAACUCCAUCAUGAGAGUUAGUAUAAACAUUGUCCAAUGUGGCUCAAAAUGCUAAAGUUAUGCUAUUGACGCAGUUAGUUAAUUGAUGUAAAACCACAAAGAACAAUGAACAAUCAAAGGGAAAAAGAACUAAACUCUCAAAAUAUGUCAAGUCUUAAUUGUCAAUAUCAAUAAUAAUAAUAAGCUCU